rnacentral:ncRNA from 2 species
CAAUAAAAAUUAAAUAGUGUUCAUAUAAUAGCAGAGAUAUGGUCUGCAAGUUUCUACCGGACAGCCGUAAAUUGUCCGACUAUGAGCGAAAGGCGCACAAUG